rnacentral:tRNA from 4 species
CAUCAACAAUGGGUUCAUACCAUAUACUCCUCCCCCAACAGGCGAGGACGCACCUGCGCCUCUCACGCCAUUGUCAAC